CGCACCUACCGAUUGAAUGUUUCGGUGAAGAUGCCGGACUGGAACGUGGGCGCUUCACGGCGCUUGGGGGAAAGGAAGUUAUCUAAACCUCAACAUUUAGAGGAAGGUGAAGUCGUAACAAGGUUUCCGUAGGUGAACCUGCGGAAGGAUCAUUA
rnacentral:rRNA from 1 species